GGGUCUUUAUUAUAUUUAAGUAUACCUAAUUGCAGAUUAGGGGGAUUUGGGCUUU
rnacentral:tRNA from 2 species